rnacentral:tRNA from 1 species
GCGGGCGUGGCGGAAUUGGUAGACGCGCUAGAUUUAGGAUCUAGUGGGGAGACCCGUGAAGGUUCAAGUCCUUUCGCCCGUA